rnacentral:rRNA from 1 species
AUUGAACGCUGGCGGUAUGCUUAACACAUGCAAGUCGAAUGAUGAGAAAGAGCUUGCUCUUUCGAUUAGUGGCGGACGGGUGCGUAACGCGUAGGAAUCUACCUAUUAGUGGGGGACAACUUAGGGAAACUUAAGCUAAUACCGCAUACGCCCUACGGGGGAAAGAAGGGGAUCGCAAGACCUUUUGCUAAUAGAUGAGCCUGCGUAGGAUUAGCUAGUUGGUGGGGUAAAAGCUCACCAAGGCGACGAUCCUUAACUGGUUUGAGAGAAUGAUCAGUCACACUGGAAAUGAGACACGGUCCAGACUCCUACGGGAGGCAGCAGUGGGGAAUAUUGGACAAUGGGCGAAAGCCUGAUCCAGCAAUACCGCGUGUGUGAAGAAGGCCUUAGGGUUGUAAAGCACUUUCAAUUGGAAGGAAAACCUCGAAGCUAAUACCUUCGAGUUUAACAUUACCUUUAGAAGAAGCACCGGCUAACUCCGUGCCAGCCGCCGCGGUAAAAC